rnacentral:lncRNA from 1 species
UUCCACCUCCAGUGACUCCCUGCAGGGAGAAUGUUGGCUUUACCAGUGUCCACACUAACGAGGUGACUCCCUGCAGGGAGAAUGUUGGCUUUACCAGUGUCCACACUAACGAGGUGACUCCCUGCAGGGAGAAUGUUGGCUUUACCAGUGUCCACACUAACGAGGUGACUCCCUGCAGGGAGAAUGCUGGCUUUACCAGUGUCCACACUAACGAGGUGACUCCCUGCAGGGAGAAUGUUGGCUUUACCAGUGUCCACACUAACGAGGUGACUCCCUGCAGGGAGAAUGUU